CUUUUAUUUGAUAAAGAUGAAUGAUAGACAAAUACAAGAACCUUAGGACCCUUGUUGGAUCUGAUGAAGGUCUGGGAUCAUAGAUCCUCCUAUCUCUUUAGAGAGAUGUGUUUACAUAUAUUCUAGAGAGAGGGAAAAGGAAAGAGCCCGAGAGCCCCCUUGGGAAGUCCUCCCUUCCUAUUUAUAAGGGGUAUUCCUAGAAAAACCCUAAAAGAAAAGGUACAAUUAGAGGGAGUAUUCAGUAGAAUAUUCCUUUUGAGGAUUCCACAGCAGACUAGUUUCAUCACUGCCCGACCUCGGCUUGUCCAACCUUGGCCUGUCCUACCUCGGCCUUAUUGAUGAUUGUCCGACCUCGGCUUGUCCGGCCUUGGCUUUAUUGAUGAUUGUCCGACCUCGGCCUUACGUCUCCGCUUGCCGAAUUUCUCUGAUCUAAUUUUGACCCAUUCACUAUGUAAAAUGGAAGAGAUGGAAUAUUGCAUUUUUUUUUUUGGCAACUAAAGUUUGUGCUUUAUUUUCACUGUUCCUUGAGCCGAGGGUCUGCCGGAAACAGCCUCUCUGUCUUUACAAGUUGAGGGUAAGGUCUGCGUAGUGUUUGUGGGAUUACACUGGAUUUGUUGUAGUUGUUGGUAACUAAAAUUUGUAUUAAUCACCAAGUGAGCUUUUUACAAGGGAUGAUGAAUAUUACAUUCACUAUUCUUUUUGUAGAGACUAAGUGUGGAUUUUGGUAUUAAUUUAACUAUACUUAUAAAUGUUGUUGGAGGAUAUCUUGGAAGGACAAUAAGCAAAUUCAACUUGAACAGCAUCCACGGAAUUGGUCCUUUCCUUUUUGGAGGAUGUUGGGACUUGAGACUUUAUUGAAUAAAUUGUUCUUCUCAGCAUUUCCCUUGAUCAUGAUGUUGCUUCCAAUAGAAUGCAGCACGGCUCCUAUCGUUCCUCUGUGAUUAUGGUGAAUUCAAGCAAUUUUCUGCUUACCACUAAAUAGGAACAGUUUAAGGUUCAACUUGUAUUGGAGAUGCCCCUAUGUGUGCAGAUGAAAAAAGACCCUUCUAGCUCUAAAAUUUGUACUACGAUGGGUUAUUAGUACCCUCAAAAUUGAUAUAAUCAAUACGGUUAUACUUGGUGCGGACACUAUCCUGGCUGGACUUCGUUUCAGAAUUAUCCAAUUGCAUAGUUUGUAGUCUUCAGUGCUGGUGUAGAGUUGCUUUUACUUGAUAUAUUCUUAUUGAAGUAUACAUCAGGAGUGCAAGAGCAAGGUGGAAAAUGUAAACAGGAAGUCUUAUAGAGCAUCGAGUUAGUUCCACUUAAGGCUUAAGGAAGUAACUUUGACCACAAUCUGAUCUUCCUGUACUUAUUCAUUCCUGAAUUUUGAUCUGGUGUCUACUCAUAAGUUCUUAUUCCGUCAUUUAUCAGCUUAAUCAAUAGUUUCAUUGACUGCUCUACAGUUCUUCGUUAGGUCUUGUUUCUCUUUGUGAUUUGAUAUUCUAUUUCUAACACGUGUUUUAUAUAAGAUACUUUUGGGAACAUGCAGUAAAUGAUUUCAACUUUUACACAAGUUGAAAAAUCGUCUAAUAAAGCAGUUCUUGUCAUUCUA